CCCGCUGAACUUAAGCAUAUCAAUAAGCGGAGGAAAAGAAACUAACAAGGAUUCCCCUAGUAACGGCGAGUGAAGCGGGAAGAGCUCAAGCUUAAAAUCUCCGUGCAAGUUUUGCGCGGCGAAUUGUAGUCUAUAGAAGCGUGGUCAGUGAGGGUGCCCGGGGCAAGUUCCUUGGAAGAGGACAGCAUGGAGGGUGAUACUCCCGUUCAUCCCUGGGUGUCUCUUGCGUACGACCCGUUUUCUUUGAGUCGCGUUGUUUGGGAAUGCAGCGCAAAGUAGGUGGUAAAUUCCAUCUAAAGCUAAAUAUUGGUGCGAGACCGAUAGCGAACAAGUACCGUGAGGGAAAGAUGAAAAGAACUUUGAAAAGAGAGUUAAAGAGUACCUGAAACUGCUGAAAGGGAACCGAAUCGUUUCCAGUGUCUAUAAUCUGUGGCAUAUUUCAUUGGCGAGUGUGUGCGUGCGUGUGCUUUGGCAGUGGCUUUUUUGGCUGCGCUGGGUGUGUGUGCUGUGUGUGCUUGCUGGUGCCCUGUGCUGCGGUGGGACGUCAAGGUCAGUUCGUAUGCUGCGGGAAAUGGCUGCCGAGGAGGUAGGGCUUACGCUCCGCGUUUGUCUGUUAUAUCUUGGUGGACGAGUCGUCGCGGUUGGGACUGAGGUGCCUACAACGUGCUUUUGAGUGAGUGUGGGUCUCCGUGUGCGCCGUGUGCGGAUAGCUUGCUAUGCGUGUGUGGCUGUGUGUGGAUUGAUGCGCGCUGUAACUUGUCGCCGUUCGGGACGUUGACGAAAUGGAGCGAUCCGACCCGUCUUGAAACACGGACCAAGGAGUCUAACAUGUGUGCAAGUGUUAGGGUGUGGAAACCCCAGCGCGAAAUGAAAGUAAAGGGCAGCGCAAGUUGUCUGAGGUAGGAAAUGCUGCGGGCUUCGGUCUGCGGCGUGGCACUAUCGACCGAUCAUGAACCUUCGUGGUGAAAGAUUUGAGUUUGAGCACAUAUGUUGGUACCCGAAAGAUGGUGAACUAUGCCUGAGUAGGGUGAAGCCAGGGGAAACUCUGGUGGAAGCUCGUAGCGAUUCUGACGUGCAAAUCGAUCGUCAAACUUGGGUAUAGGGGCGAAAGACUAAUCGAACCAUCUAGUAGCUGGUUCCCUCCGAAAUUUCCCUCAGGAUAGCAGCAACUUAUUUACGAUAGUUUUAUGAGGUAAAGCGAAUGAUUAGAGGAUUCGGGGAAGAAACUUCCUCGACCUAUUCUCAAACUUUAAAUCUGUAAGACCUGCAGGUUUCUUAAUUGAACUUGUGGAUGUGAAUAUCAAGUUGCUAGUGGGCCAUACGGGGUAAGCUCGUCUGGCG
rnacentral:rRNA from 1 species